rnacentral:rRNA from 1 species
UCAAAUCAUCAUGCCCCUUAUGACCUGGGCUACACACGUGCUACAAUGGAUGGUACAAAGGGCUGCAAGACCGCGAGGUCAAGCCAAUCCCAUAAAACCAUUCUCAGUUCGGAUUGUAGGCUGCAACUCGCCUACAUGAAGCUGGAAUCGCUAGUAAUCGCGGAUCAGCAUGCCGCGGUGAAUACGUUCCCGGGCCUUGUACACACCGCCCGUCACACCACGAGAGUUUGUAACACCCGAAGUCGGUGGAGUAACCGUAAGGAGCUAGCCGCC